UACUUCCUCCUCUGAUACGUAACAAUUCCUCCCCCUUUAGAUACUUUCUUAUCCCCAAGAAAGUACAACAUUGGGAAACUGGGCCUGUAUAAAAGAAUGGUCUUCCCAAGUUACAUCUUCAGGAGGUAAGUUCUGCCAUUUAAUCAACCCUUGCAACACAGUUUGCUGAUAUCUAGUAAUGGUUCUGGUUUGCAGAACUUGCUCAGGUGCCACAACCACUUGUUCUUCAUUCAUAGUUGGCAGAUCAACUAAUGGAGUCACAUUAUUCCCCCAUUUCUUCUUUAGCAUUGAAAAAUGGAAUACAGGGUGUAUGGAAGAAGUUGGAGGCAGCAGUAGCUUAUAAGCUACUGUACCAUACUUAGCAAUGAUCUGAUAAGGCCCAUAGUACUUAGGAGAUAGCUUCAAGGAGUGCCUAACAGAUACUGAGGCUUGUCUGUAAGGUUGCAACUUGAAGUAUACCCAUUCCCCCACAUCAAACUGUCUUUCUGACCUCUGUUUAUCCACCUACUGUUUCAUUCUGUUCUGUGCUAGUAAUAAAUUCUCCCUCAACAACUUAUCUAAUUGCUGCACUUCUUGCAAUAAUGUGUCCACAGCCCCAACAGUAGGAGAGUCCACAGGAAUUAGUGGGAGAAAUGAUGGUGAAUAACCAUAUAAUGCCUCAAAAGGUUCCAUCUUUAUAGCACUAUGAAAAGAGGAAUUAUACCACCAUUCUGCAAGAGGAAGCAAAGUGCACCAGGUAGAGGGUUUCAAAUGAGCCAUGCAUCUCAAAUAUCCUUCUAAACAUUGGUUAAGUCUUUCAGUUUGACCAUCAGACUGAGGAUGGUAAGCUGUACUAAAUGCCAGUGUUGUUCCCAAACAUUUAAACAACUCCUUCCAAAACAAACUAGUAAAGAUUUUAUCUCUGUCAGAAACAAUGGACUGAGGUGCUCCAUGCAACUUAAAAAUCUGAUCUAAAAAUAGCUUGGCCACAGUAGAAGCUGAAUAUGGAUGAGUCAAUGGAAUAAAGUGACCAUUCUUAGUGAAUCUACAAACAACCACUAAGAUUGUAUCUUUACCUUUAGAUUUAGGUAAAUGCUCAAUAAACUCCAUUGAAAUAUGCUGCCAAGCC
rnacentral:misc_RNA from 1 species